rnacentral:rRNA from 1 species
CAGCGCCGCGGUAAUACGGAGGGUGCAAGCGUUAAUCGGAAUUACUGGGCGUAAAGCGCACGCAGGCGGUCUGACAAGUCAGAUGUGAAAUCCCCGGGCUUAACCUGGGAACUGCAUUUGAAACUGUCAGGCUGGAGUCUUGUAGAGGGGGGUGGAAUUCCAGGUGUAGCGGUGAAAUGCGUAGAGAUCUGGAGGAAUACCGGUGGCGAAGGCGGCCCCCUGGACAAAGACUGACGCUCAGGUGCGAAAGCGUGGGGAGCAAACAGGAUUAGAUACCCGAGUAGUCCCUGUCUCUUAUACA